rnacentral:lncRNA from 1 species
AUUGGAAUAAAAUUCAAAUUUUAAUAAGAGACUAGCACCAAAAGUGUAUUUACUUAAAUUGUGUACAUUUUAAAACAUUUCAAUGAAAUGUGUAUGCAUUUUGGUGGUCUAGGGAUGCAUGAAUAUAUGAAGAUUCUCAAACAGAUAUAGAGAACAUGAGAGAGAGAAAAGCUUCAAUUCAUGGGAAAGGGGCAGUGAGAUUACUUGAGUCACAAGCACAUGUACCUCAACUCAGUUUUAAUGUUUACGCAUGCAUUACAGGAUUGAGAGGAAGUGAUGGGUCCCGUUUGUAUGCAUCCUAUCCUAUCAAUCUCAUCUGCAUUCUUUCUUUCUAUGUACCGUUAGUUCCAAUUGUUGUCUAACGUUCAAUACCGUGACUCAUACAACAC